rnacentral:rRNA from 1 species
AUUGAACGCUGGCGGCAUGCCUUACACAUGCAAGUCGAACGGUAACGCGGGGCAACCUGGCGACGAGUGGCGAACGGGUGAGUAAUGCAUCGGAACGUGCCCAGUAGUGGGGGAUGGCCCGGCGAAAGCCGGAUUAAUACCGCAUACGACCUAUGGGUGAAAGCGGGGGACCGUAAGGCCUCGCGCUAUUGGAGCGGCCGAUGUCAGAUUAGGUUGUUGGUGGGGUAAAAGCCUACCAAGCCGACGAUCUGUAGCUGGUCUGAGAGGACGACCAGCCACACUGGGAAUGAGACACGGGCCAGACUCCUACGGGAGGCAGCAGUGGGGAAUUUUGGACAAUGGGGGCAACCCUGAUCCAGCCAUGCGGCGUGCGGGAAGAAGGCCUUCGGGUUGUAAACCGCUUUUGUCAGGGAAGAAACGCUCUGAGUUAAUACCUCGGGGUAAUGACGGUACCUGAAGAAUAAGCACCGGCUAACUACGUGCCAGCAGCCGCAGUAA